rnacentral:sRNA from 1 species
GGCUCCACACGGCUCAUUUGGGGAAUAAACAAAUGAUGAUUCUCAAACACAUUACUUUGUUGACUUAAAAUGUCAAUGUUUUAUAUUCCCCAGAACAAAGCAUUGUCAAGAAAUGCGAUACCUUUGUCGUUAACUGCCCUGUUCCCUGCUGAUACCAACCAUGCCCUUGUUUACGAGGAUUCAAUACCCCGCGAGGGGUAGUUAGUUCUUUGCGAACGGGAACAUUGUCACAAUCAUAGCUCAUGAUCUUUUGGCCUACCUAAGAUUUCUCUUCCCCGAGGCACUUUGCAACAAUUAAACGGAAUAGCACACCGCAAAUUCAUUUAUGAAACUCAUCCCUCACUCUACAACUCUUCCAUGUCUGAUAAGCUCUGAGAACGUUGCAAACUAUUGAUAUAUUCACUGUCCCAAAUUCCCACUUUGAGACCCAGAAAAUCUAGCAAAUAUCUCGUUCUAAUGUAACUAUAAGUGAAGACAGUUGAUUCGGGUAUAUAAUGCAUAUCAUACAAGUUUGUUAAAAUGAUCCGUUUAACGCCUCCCC